rnacentral:lncRNA from 1 species
UUUAAUAUUUUAUAUAUAUGUCUAAACAUUCGAUAUGAUAGAGACUAAAGAUUAUAACCCUGAACCAAAGGGCGCCUAAGCCUCAUACUUCUGUCGUUACACGUGGCAUCCACGAACCCGCAAGUGUGGAAGUGACAGAUGGACGGAUCAAUGACAGAGAGAGUGACAAACCCAAAAAAAAAUUACUGUACUUAAUAUUAAGGGUCUGUUUGGUACUCUUGCUAAAUUUUAACUAGCUAAAAUUAUUUUAGCUACUCUUGGGUGACUAAUGGAACUAAAUUAUUUUAGCUCCUUUUAGUUAAUGUGUUUGGAACUUUAGCUAUUAAAGUGACUAAAAUUUAGUUAGCUAAAAUUUAGCAACCUACUACUUUGAUUCUAUGUUUUGGCAUCCGUCACGAGAAUGGUAGGAGCGAGACAUACGAAUAGGG